rnacentral:SRP_RNA from 1 species
GCCGAGUUGAGUAACAACAACUUGUAACCCAAGUGGGGGCAACAAAGUGAUGGGACAUGGCUUUGGCUUGUCAAGUUGGGCUGAUUGGUGCAUUAUGCUGGCCUGCCCACUCCAAGUUGAGAGUUGGAUCAUGGGGUUUGGACGAAGGCCCAGAUCUCCUGGUCCCUAGAAUGGAGGGAACCGCAUGAGGCUGGCUUCACAGAGCAGUGUACACCUCCUACUCUCGACAGUGGAGGGAUAACAGGCUGCUGCGUCUUCAACCCACAUAGCUUGGUGAGCCUAGCCCAUUGAACCAUCACUUUU